UCAAUCUGGCAGCAGGGAGUUGAACUGAUUGGGGAGUAAUGAGAGGGAGGCAGAGGGACUAGUUAGGAAGCCAUUAUAAUAUCCAGAUGUGAAACUAUGGUUUAGAGAAGAUAAUUAUCCAUCUGCUGGUGGGCUGUCUCCAGUGUACACUCCAAUCUUCAUCGUAUGCAGCCCCAUAGAGCAGUGGUAUCACAACCAUGUGGGGAGAUUUCUGGAAUAAA